rnacentral:rRNA from 1 species
UACAGAGGGUGCAAGCGUUAAUCGGAAUUACUGGGCGUAAAGCGUGCGUAGACGGUUACAUAAGUCGGGUGUGAAAGCCCCGGGCUCAACCUGGGAAUUGCAUUCGAGACUGCGUAGCUAGGGUGCGGAAGAGGGAAGCGGAAUUUCCGGUGUAGCAGUGAAAUGCGUAGAUAUGCGGAGGAACACCGAUGGCGAAGGCAAUCCCCUGGACCUGUACUGACGCUCAUGCACGAAAGCGUGGGGAGCAAACAGG